CACAGAGGAAGCUAAAAACGGGUAGAGAGGAAGAAACCGAAAAAGAAAGGAAGAAAAAGAGAAAGGAAAGAAGAAGGAAAAGGGGAAAAAUAAAGAGAGACAAGGAAGAAAAAUUAGGUGCUUACUUCUUCUAUGUAUCUAUUUUCUUUAAGAGGUAAAUGAAUAUUUUACGUUGAAUUUCUGGGGUUUUAAUUUGUGGUUUAAAUUUUCAGAUGUAGGAGAAUAAGAGUACAAGUUUCUUGAUUCUUGAAUUUCCAAUUUCAUUAAGGUAGAUUUUAAUUGGGUUCUUGGGUAUGCAUAAUUAGUAGAAAUAAAGGUGUUAGUUGAGAUGAUUAUUUGAAAUAACGAGUUAUGAGCUAGAAUGUAAAAUUAAACCGGUGCAAGUGUGAUUUUAUGUGUUUCCUAGAAUGAAAGAUGUAAUAAUUAUUUUUAUGCUUGGAAAGAAAGUAAUUUCAAUAAAUUAGAUAUUAGUAAAGGGAUUAGUGGGUGGAAUUAGUUCCAAUUGUAAAGGAAAUUGAAGAAUUUAUUCCAAGUAUGGAGAACUCAAGUCCUAGUAUUCCAUAUUUAAAUAUUAAGGGUACUUGGUAUGAUGAUUGUUGAAUUGGUUGUUUUAUAUCAUAUUUCAGGCUGCAAUGAAGAUAUUGGAAAAGCUUACAGAUCAUCCUAAUCUAUAGCUUAUUUCAUAUAAUAGAUUUGAUAACAUGAUUUUCAAAAUAAAGUGGAUUUUAUAGUCAAUUCUUUUUAAAGUUAAAUUCAGUUGGUUAAAUCAUUUCUUUAACAUGUCAUAUUCGUAUUAUAUAUUUCAGCUUAUCUAAAAUUUUUUUUUUACUAUAGUCUGUAUUUGUGUGAAUGUAUUUUCAUAGUGUAUGAUCCCAUAUGGUUAUUUUAACCACUUUGCACUGGUGUGAAUGUGUUUCCAUUAUGUAUAAUCAAUUAUGGUGAUUUUACACACUCUGCACUAUUUUGAAUGCGUUUUCGUAGUUUAUGACUAGAUUACGGCAUUUGGUUAGCUCUGUGCGCGUAUGACUAGAAUUACAGAAUUACAAAAUCUCAGAAUUUUAGAAUUUAAUAGUUUUGCCAUGUAUAUCGAUAUAUAUCGAUACAUGAGUAAGGUUAUUUCAGGUAUCUUUUAGUGUAUUUUUUAGUGUUAUACAACUCAUCAGAUAUCACAUUACAGAAUUUAUUUUAUUCAAUUUAAAAAAUAAAGAUUUCAUCUUAUAAUAUUGUUUUUACUCAAUUGUAUGGAUAUCAGAUUUAUUAUAUCCGUUAUAUCUUAUAGAUAUUCAUUCAGAAUAAAAAAUAAAGAGUUUUAUAAUUUCAUUAUGCUUUAAUUUUAAAAGAAUUAUUAGAUUUCAGACUUUCUUACAGUUGUAAUAAUAUAAGCGUCUUUAGAAAGUUUGCAUAAAAGGAAAAAAUAUAUUUAUUUGUGAAAUAUCCACUCACUGAGUUACAAGUUUAUAUAUUUUGUCACCAUUUUCUUUUCAGAUAGUAGUUGAGUUGAGCAGCAUUGAAUCUAUCGAGUUGAGCCACACAUUGUCAUUUAUUGUAUGUAUCAUCUUGUCAGUUUAUUUUAUAUAGUUUAUAUUUUUAAGACACGUGCAUCUUUUGUUAGGAAAUGUAUCGAUAUCAUGGACUCGCUGCAUUUUUUGUAUAUAUUGUACAUUUGGUGUCUUUUGGUUUGUAUAGGAGUGUAAAUUUUAUUUUCAAAGCACUUUAUUUUGAAUAGUUUGUGUUUUGAGGGGCCGGUUUACCCAUUUUAAAUUAUAUUUACAGAUUUGAAAAAAAUUGAUUAUUGUUCACGUAGUUUUCGAUCAUAUUUAAGAGAAAACUUUGUAAAAAUUCUUUUAAAAAUUAUCUUGGUCGUAGGUCCAACACUUAGCUUGUAUCUACUAUUGGUGUAUGGCACAUGUCGAGUUCAUUAGGGUGAUUCGGGACGGAUCUUGUCAAUUGUACAGUUCUCCAUCAUUUACUCCAUAUUUGUAGGGAAAUUAAUUGUCCAUAAAUUAUUAUUGACUCUAUUUCCUCGUCCAUAAUAAGUUCAUGUUUUAAAUUAAACUCUUGUUCUUUCCUUAAUUACUGAUUAUUUUUAUAAAAUAUAAAUAGUUAAAUACUGUAAUCAGUAGCCAUGAAUAUGCUUUCUUGUCUUUCAAUGUGACAUAAAGAAACAUGUUUCGUACGUAGUUGGACUCAACAAUAUCAUAAACAAAAUUUCAACUACUUUCUCUUAUUAAAACUGUCAAGUAAUUUCGUGCAGAACGACACCCUUGCUGGCUAUGUGAAGAAAUAUGCCACCAAAAGGUUGCAGAUUGUGCAAUGGAGCAUUCCGAGGGACCUUAUGGAGAAAACCUUGCUGCGGGCUCAUGGGGUCUGAGCGCAAAGGAAGCUGUAGAUAUGUGGAUUGAGGAGAAGUUUUAUAAUGAGAAAUCGAACACUUGUAAUGGAGGGGAAUGCUUGCAUUACACACAGGUUGUUUGGGCUCACACAAAGCAUGUUCGCCGUGCCAGGGCUAAAUGCCAAGAUUGAUGGACAUUUGUUAAAUGCGAUUACGGCCCUCGUGGCAAUUACAUUGGUGAACGUCCUUAUAAAGCUAAUACAGUAUUUUUGACCGUGCUUAAAAAUAACUUUUUAGCCAUUUUUCAACGACAUAUGUGACGAUAUAUUACGGGCUUGUUCUUUUCUGGCCAGAGACUAAUUUUGUAAUAGAAGAUGAAAAGAAAAUCUUCAAUCUUUCUACAAGCUUGCACAAUCUAUUUGCUUAUUGCCUAGUUGGACGUUGGAAUAUUUAUGUAAGAAUUUCAUUUAUUUCUUCUAUAUUUUUUUAGGUAAAUCCUAAUUUUAUAUUUACUUAUUGAAGUCUUUCAUCUUUGACAUAUAUGCA
rnacentral:lncRNA from 1 species